rnacentral:rRNA from 1 species
CUGGCUCAGAACGAACGCUGGUAGCGUGGAUAGGCAUGCAAGUCGAACGGGAUCCGGAAGGCAGCAAUGUCGGCCGGUGAGAGUGGCGGAAGGGCGAGGAACACGUGGGCAACCUGUCUUGAGGUGGGGAAAACCUCGGGAAACUGAGGCUAAUACCGAAUGUGGCGCGGAAGGGCAUCCUUCCUGCGCUAAAGGGGGCGAAAGCUCCCCCUCUUCGAGGGGCUCGCGCACCAUCAGCUAGUUGGCGGGUAACGGCCCACCAAGGCUCACGGUUAGCUGGUCUGAGAGGAUGGCCAGCCGCACUGGGACUGAGAUACUGCCCAGACUCCUACGGGAGGCUGCAGUCGAGGAUCAUUCGCAAUGGGCGAAAGCCUGACGAUGCGACGCUGCGUUGGAGGAUGAAGGCCUUCGGGUUGUAAACUCCUGUCAUGAGGGAAAAGGAGACCUUACCUAAUACGUAGGGGAUUUGAUGGUACCUCAAGAGGAAGGGACGGCUAACUCUGUGCCAGCCGCCGC